rnacentral:rRNA from 1 species
UACGUAGGGUGCGAGCGUUAAUCGGAAUUACUGGGCGUAAAGCGUGCGCAGGCGGUCUGUUAAGACCGAUGUGAAAUCCCCGGGCUUAACCUGGGAACUGCAUUGGUGACUGGCAGGCUUUGAGUGUGGCAGAGGGAGGUAGAAUUCCACGUGUAGCAGUGAAAUGCGUAGAGAUGUGGAGGAAUACCGAUGGCGAAGGCGGGUCUCGUGGGCCGAUAC